rnacentral:rRNA from 1 species
GACGAACGCUGGCGGCGUGCCUAAUACAUGCAAGUCGAACGCAUUGGGGACGGGUGAGUAACACGUGGGUAACCUCCCAUCAGAGGGGAAAACAUUUGGAAACAGGUGCUAAACCGAUACUGAUGGAUGGCCCCGCGGUUCAUUAGCUAGUUGGUGAGGUAACGGCGCACCAAGGCCACGAUUCAUAGCCGGCCUGAGAGGGUGAGCGGCCACACUGGGACUGAGACACGGCCCCGACUCCUACGGGAGGCAGCAGUAGGGAAUAGUCGGCAAUGGACGAAAGUCUGACCGAGCAACGCUGCGUUAGUGAAGAAGGUUUUCGGAUCGUAAAACUGUGUUGUUAGAGAAGCGGUAUCUAACCAGAAAGCCACGGAUAACUACGUGACAGCCGCCGCGGUCAUUC